CAAACAAACUCAUUAGCUAAGACCUCUUCCCUUCACACCUGCCAUUAUCCUGCAAAGGACUUUGACUCGGACGGCGCUAUCCAAUGGGCCAGGAGGACAGGACAGGGCAGGCCAGAAAAGGAGGACCGCUCCUUGGCAUCUGGCGGAGACGGCACCUGCGGAAUGCCGCCGACGCUCGCUGGAAUCUCUGUGAAAAAUAUUUCUAUGCACUGCUCCAGUCUUGGCCAGCUCCUUGUGGAUCCUUUCCCCCACGUCAUGGCCAUAACUCUGCCAAUGCGGGGAGAUAUAUAAAUUUGCUGUGGCCAGACAGGUUGUGUUGUGCCAGCUCAAUAGAUAAACACGUGUCGCCAUCAGCCAUUUCCCGCAAGGAUUGGGGCUUGGGAUCCCACUCAAUGCCUAUGGCACCUCCUUUCAUUCGGUGAAGCUGCUGUCCGGGGGCAACAAUUAUGCCGAAUUAAGUGCUGGAACUUUGGCUGCAUUCUCAAUAAGCCAAACUUUUACCGGAGCGCACAGAACGGAAAAUUAUAAAACGUUAAAAUUGAAAAAUCAUGCGCCAGCGAGAAGCAACAAGAAGUUGAAUAUCCAGAUGGUGCCCACGGCCAGCAGACGAGGCCGAGUAUAAUUGAAAAAUAUAAAGUAUCGCCGCAAUCUGAUUAAAAUUACAUUUAAAUAAUAACAACAAAAACAAGGCGGCCAACUGGUGGGCGGGACGAGGGCAGCGGCGAAUAUUCUGUGAUGUGCGUCAGGCACGAAACUUGCAAUUACAGUUUGUAACGCGGUGGCAGGUAAAAAACUUUACAAAACUUUCCAAUUGCUUUUCAUUGAAUUGUUAUCGAUAGUGAAGAGAAUGGAAAAAACGCAAGGAAAAAUGGGCAAGGCAAAAAUAGAGAAAA
rnacentral:sRNA from 13 species